GCCGAACAAACUGUAAAAUAAUUCUGCCGCCAUGUGCCGCUGUCAAACCAAGCGUCAAAACUGUCUCUUUCUGGUACCUUUAAUGUAAAGGCAUCUCGCUUGCGCCUCCUUUCUCGCUCAUACAUCCGUGUUCAAUCGUCUCUCGUGUGCUCCAUUUAUAACCACACAAUCGUCGCCAUUUUCGUGUUCGCGUGUGAAAUUGUGUGGCUUGCAAGUUUUGUUUUGGUGUAAAUAAAUGAAUUUAGCUGGUAACGUGGGCGAAACGUAUACCGCCGAUACAGGAAUUAUCCGAAGUGGCAGUCGGUUUGUUGUUGUUUUGUUCCGGCGCUGUUCUUGGUUUAAAAUUGGAGUUAGUUGCUGUUCGUAAAGCGUCUCGUAUACUAAAAACAGGCCUGUGAAUCCACCUGAAAAGCAAUCUUACAUGAGCCGUUCACCGCCAAAGCUGCCCGGAAUAGUAUCCGCCCUAUAAGAAAUCUACGUGACACAGGUCCACCGAUUUACCUAUCCGUUAGAUAAUUUCUAUACGUCGAGAGGCGAGAGAUUUUUCCGAUUCUAGUUCAAUGCUGUCGCGACCCUGCAGAAAACCAGCGUGCCCUGAUAAGAACAGAUUUAGGAAGCAGCAGCAGAAUAAUACAGAAGUAUGGUUUCUAACAAAGUCGGAGAUGGAAACGUUAUCUGUGUUACUGGUGGAUACGAAGAGAACAAAACAUCUACAAUCGGUGAUCAUGUAUACGUUCAUGCAAUUUUUGACUUACAUCAGACGAAAAUCUAUUUUGAAUCGAGUGAGAAGUCAAACAUCUCCCUGGGGAUAGGCGGCUUCCGAUAAUAGACAACGGAGGCAACGAAUGUAAAUAAUUCCUCAACCAAUGCAAUCAAGGCUACAAGUGUGACCGUGAGUUUAUUCGUCACAGACAGAAUCCGCCGAAAAAUAGUCAGGGACAACACCUAUGACAGAGUGCUAAGAAUAUUCCUCUUAUCCGGAGCCACCCGACGGAUUUAAACACCUGCUUGUGAGGAAGGAACCAUCGUUCAAAAAAAGGUCAACAGAAAAAAAUUAUCUGGUCGUUUCUGGUCCUAAAGAACAGGGCUUGUUUAUCCAUUUUGACAUUUGGUUAAUUAUUUACUAGAGCUGAAGAUGUAAAUGUUGUUAGUAGGUUCCAUCAUCCCAGCUACGUGGUAGAAUUUUUCUAGCGAGCGAUGACUGACUGACCACUGGACUCCGUGCUCAUCCGUCGCAUUGAUGUUGUAUAGGCAAUAAAUCAAGCAAAGCUGAUCAUCGACGGAAAUCUCAUCGACAUGUGUUCCCUGUAUCUUCCAAUACUGUGAGCAUCAAGUUGAUGGGAUAUCACCGAAUCCUGUUGGUCUGAGUUUGCUUGAAUUGGAGUAGAAUUGCGAGUCGAUAAUGUUAGGCGGUAGAAAACCCGAUGUAGUAAACUUGACACAAAGGAAUCGUUGGCCAACCAACAAGCGAGAGCACCUGGAGUCGGUAUCGAAGCUGAUAUAGUUAUUGUUAUAUAACAAUGUACAUAAUAUGAGUCCCGGAAGUAAGUGUAGGUGUAGGGCUCCCGAACGUGUAACUUAAAGAGUGUCAUUACUAAAACCUGAACGAAGAUACAUACUUAUCCUGGCGCAUGGCCGUGACGAACGAUAUUGUUAUUGAAACGCUGUUCUCUGUACACAUAAACACACACACACACACACACACAUACACACACACACACACACACACACACACACACACACACACACACACACACACACACACACACACACACACACACACACACACACACACACACACAAAGGCCCUUAUUCUGCGCCUCGAGUGACGUGACGAUAGUAGAGUCACCCAAGUCACUCUAUUCCAGCAGUCGGUUUAGGUGAGGAACGUCACUUCGGAUGAACUUUGUGAGUUCUUACCCUAUUCUCGUAAUCACCGUGGGUGAGAAUCGUCGCAUUCGGGUGACGAUUUUAGGUGACAAUUGUCGGUACCUUUUCAGGUGGUGACGAGAUUAAAAUGGAAUGAAAAAUUACAGAAGGCGGAGUUGUUAGUUGUUAAAAUUCAAUCAAAAUAUUUUACCUAGCAUGUUUUUAGCUUAAAUUAUUAAUAAAUUUGUAAACACAACGAUGAUUUCUUUUUACGAGAAGGGUUGGAGUUUGAAGGAGUUGGUUUUAUUUAAGGGAUUUUUGCUACCAAAUCUUCCUUGUCAUGCAAUCUUAACUGUUGCCACUGAGGGCAGGAGGAGAUGUACACGGUGCGAGUUUUCAGGUCCAUCCGGGCCCGGAUUAAUUACAAAAAAGUAGGAAAAUUGAGAUUAAAAUUUUGAAAAAUCUUUAGGGAAAAAUAAAUUUAUUAGUUUUCAUGAUUUUGUAUACAAUUGAUAAACUUUGAAUAAUUCGAAAUUGUGAACACUUUCGAAAAGUCGAUACCCCGCUUUUUAAUCUUUUUAUUUAGUAGCCGUAACUUUUUAACACGUAUCUCAAAACUUUUUUGAAUUUGGUGUAAAAUAAAACAAAAAUUUAGAAGAAACUGUAAAUAGCUUCUCGAACACAAACGCCGAUAGCAGAUUUUGAAUCGGCUCCAGGAACCGGACCGGCUUCAGCGACAGAAACGGAUCCAGCAGGAAUGUGUUCGGAUCGGCGAGGGCCAUCACGAUACACUUCAUGGCAUCCUCCCGGGCGUAGCUGGUAUUUUCGUCCGUGUACGUUCAGAGCAGCUCACUGUUUGUAUCCUGGAGGACGUCGUGCAACAGACGGUACAGCUUGUAAAUUAGCCUUUAGUUGAUCGACUCCGCGGAAGACUUCCUUUACCUGGUCGCAUUGCUUCGUCCCGUUCCAGAGGAUUGGAAACGAUAAUCGACACCACCGACUCUAGGACCGCGUCGAUUUAUUCCAUCAGCCCUUGUCCUCGCUGAUUUUCGCCCCAAGCUGGCCGCAACACCUAAACCUAAAAUAGGUAGACAGAAGUUAGAAAUGGUGAGAUUAAAAGAAGCAACUUAUUUGUAAUAGCAGCUAAGGUUGUCGCAGAUACUCGGAAGCCUUUUUGCGCACCGCGGUUUGUGAGACAGCAGUCGCCCCUGGCAUGUUGUUCGAGUUUUUGUUGCUCCAGUUUGAUGCUGUGUCUGAAAUCCGGGCUGGGCUGAAAUUUCCUCUUUUGUAGCCAAAUUCGUCCUUUUUUUUCCAAUUGACCAGCUUGCUAACACCGUACAAUCCGAUAAUUGUCCAGGACCUGGCACAAUUUUCACUCGUUUAUUUUAAAUUCAAUUUUCAAAAACCGAAUCGUAAACACCGGCACAACACAAUCAGAACAAAUUUCUCCAUUUUUCUAGAUGGGUUCAUCCAGUCACUCAGCUCGGAAUGAGUAUCUGUCACUUGCUGUCACCUCACUUAAACCGACUGUCGGAAUAAGGUGACAAGAGUGGGGUGACUCGCCAACUGUCACGUCACUCGCGGCGCAGAAUAAGGGCCAAAUUUGAUGUAAAUUUGGCUAUGGUUUCUAGAACUUGUCUUAAGUUACGUUUCAGAAGCUCGAAGUCUCAAUGUUUGAUUUAAGAAAAUUUAAUCUUUGGUUAAUGUUGCAGCGUUCGCUACUAUGUAAAUGUAAAUAGUAUUGAUUCCUUCAAAGCCGGAGGAGCUAGUAAAACUAUGUCCGACAAAAGGAAAAAAUACUCCAAAAUCCAUAUUCGGGGAAUAACCUCGUUUAAAUAUAUGCUUAAAUUCCAAAAUGAGAUCACUGCCUAGCUGGAUGGAAAUAUAUUUACUUCAAGAAUGAUCUAAAACUAUUUAUGUUUUCGUGAAAUUAUGUCGUCGUCGUCGUUUUUGACUCUUCCAAGGUUUUUAUCAUCCUCAUGUUUGUACUAUUAUCUGGCAUUUCUCCCGACAGGAGAGACGGGAUCCUGAAUGACAAAAAAAACUAUGAGGUUAACUAAAUUUAAAAUUUUCGGUAAUGUUUACCGAACCCUGGAAAACGUUCAGUAAUUUCAGCUAAGGAUGGGCAUCGCAUAACAUGAAAUGACUCGAGUCUCCAGAAGUUCAAGCGAGAAAAUUUCACUUCUGAAGAACAUACCUUAGGACCUUAGAGACUAUGUCAAAUUCAUGUUUUCGCAUAAAGCGGAGAUGUCUUCUGAAACGAAAUUAUCGACUUGUAUUAUUUCUUGUCAGACGCCAUGAAGCUCGACGUGAAAUGACACGAGUCAAAAAUUUCAAGAAGACACUUUCGUUUUAGGCGAAAACAUCGAUUUGACGGAGCCUGGUUUAUAUAUGUUCUUCAGAAUUGAAAUUUCUCAAUUGAAGUGUUUUCUGAAGACUCGGAUCAUCUCGCGUAAUGUGCUGUGCAUUAUAAGCUGAAAUUACCGAAAGUUUUAAGGGUUUCGGUAAAAAUUACCGAAAAUUUAACAGUUUUCGGUAAAUAUUACCGGUAUUUCGGUAAUAAUUACAGAAAUUUCGGUGAAAAUUACCGUUUUUUUUUGGUAAAAGUUCCCGAUAUUUCUGUAAUAGUUACCGAAAUACCGGUAAUAUUUAUCGGCAUUUUGAGAAGAUUUACCGGCAUUUCGGUAAUUGUUACAGGUGUUUCGGUAAAUUCUACCGGUCGGUCGGUGAAAAAUACCGGACUUUUACAGCUUUUCGGUAAAAAAAUAACGGUAUUUCGGUAAUAGUUUUAGAUAAUUCGGUAAUAAUUACAGGUAAUUCGGUAAUAUUUUCAGGUUUUCGGUAAUUUAUUAAGGAAUUUCUGUAAAUCUUACCGGUUGUUCGGUACAUGCUACCGAGCUUUUAUAGUUUUCCGGUUAAACAUUACCGGCCUUUCGGUAAUAAUUACAGGCAUUUCGGUUGUACAACACCGUUGUUCGGUAAUAUAACGAGCUGUCACGUUGACAACUGUCAAUAAUUUGACAGAUGAUCUUAGAUAUAAUCAGCCGAGUUUCGAUAAUUUUUUACCGAAAAAGAUCUGUAAUAUUUGACAGCUGUCACUUCUCCGCGAUGAAAAAAUUACCGAACAGUUUAACGAUUUCCACAUGUUAGGAUUUCGGUAAAAAAAUUACCGAACUCGGUAAUUUUCGUUUACUGUGAGCUAAAAAAUUAUCUGUUUGAACUAUAACAACAAUCGCAAUACCUUCCUUGGUUGAGUUUUCAAUAAGAAAGGUAAAAGCUCUGCGACAAAAUGCUCGGAUCGAUUGGAAUCGAUUUUGACAGUUCUUUUGCUCGAUUGGAAUUUUGUGUUUCAGAUGUCACUUCUCUUAUAUACAGGUUCACUAGAAAUGGUCACAAAAAGUUCAAAAAAGUGGUCUGAAAAACCUACUUUUCAUUCAAUUGCUAGUAAAUACUGUUUGAGCGAUGGUAGAGUGUUUUGAAAAAUAUGACUACAAACUUUAUUGAAAUUCCAAAAUUUUGCUGUCUUCAGAUUUUCGAUGCAACAAAAAUUGAAUUUACUGGAAUUUUUCUAAGUUGGCUACUUUUUGCGAUUUUUUCACUAAUUGAAAUUUCAUCUGUUUUUGUGGUCCUCCGUCAGGUUGUACCCGGAUUUUCAGUGCUUUUGCUUUGUUUGGACCAAUCAAAAGUAUAUUCAUUGGAAAGCACAUUUAAUCUACAUUCUAGUGAGGUGCUACAAUUUACGCUGUAAGAUUUCACAAAAAUAUGAAAAUUAUAAACGUAAAAUCA